UAGGGAAUAUUAGAAAUGGACGAAAGUCUGAUCUAGCAACACCGCGUGUGCGAAGAAGGCCUUCGGGUUGUAAAGCACUUUUUGGAAGGAUUAGGAAGGAAUGUACUUCCAGAAUAAGUCUCGGCUAACUACGUGCCAGCAGCCGCGGUAACACGUAGGAGGCAAACGUUAUCCGGAUUUACUGGGCGUAAAGCGCGUGUAGGUGGUUCUGUAAGUAGGGCGUGAAAGCUCCUGGCUCAACUGGGAGAGGCCGUUCUAAACUGCAGAGCUAGAGGAUGGUAGAGGGAGGUGGAAUUCCGGGUGUAGCGGUGGAAUGCGCAGAUAUCCGGAGGAACACCAGUGGCGAAAGCGGUUUUCUGGACCAAUUCUGACACUCAGAUGCGAAAGCUAAGGUAGCAAACG
rnacentral:rRNA from 1 species